rnacentral:misc_RNA from 1 species
CAAAGAUUGAAUUUGGGGAAAACUUGAAAAAAUGUCGGUUCGUUUGAUGAAGAAAAUCUUGAAGGAACAAGAACCAGCUGAGACUCAACAACUAAUUAAUAGCGAAGAUGAAUCUGAAUCUCCUCCUGCUUCCUCCGCUAAUUUUCGUAAUCCAUUCGAUCUCCUUGACGACGAAGAUGACGAUGAUGGUGGUGUUGACCAGGAAAACAAUGCAGAUAUCAAUGGCGGAUCCUCAAGUGAGAACAACAAUGAGAAGCAAGUGUCCACCACAAAAACCACUCCGGAAGCAUUUGUGUUGUCAGAUAGCAAAUUUAAGAAAAAGAAAAAGAAGAAAA